rnacentral:lncRNA from 1 species
CCUCAGUCCACUGUCACCUGUGACCAGGUAAGCCCAUCUACUGGUGUUCUGCAGAAGGAAGCCACUUGUUUGGAGAGAGAAAACACACUCUAUAGCACCAAAUUGUUAGUAACAAAGGUGACAUUUUGACCUCCAUUUUCUUUUUUUUUUUUUUUAAUAUCGUAUUUGACUUUAUGUGUGUGAAGGUGUCAGGAACUGGAGUCACAGACAGCUGCGAGCUGCCGUGUGGGUGCUAGGAAUUGAACCCGGAUCCUCUGAAACAGCACCCAGUGCUCUUAACUGCUGAGCCAUCUAUCCAGCCCCCUGACCUCCAUAUUCAGUAUUAAAUCUCUUAAUUCAUCACUCAGGUUAAGAUUCUCCAGGAGAGGGAAAGAGAGACGUCUCGGUUGGACCUGAUUCUUGGGAACAAAGGCAGAAGAAAGCAUGGCUGCUCUGGAGGAGGCUAAGAGCAGCCAUCAGAAGUAUCUUUGUGAGCCAGCCAACCAGGAGCAGGAGAGAGAGCUCAGCACUAAGGGCACUCACUGCUGUUUCAAAGGACCCAGGGAAGACGGAGGGGCUCACCAGAAAGUUACAAGAAUCUCCCAAGCUGCCUGCAAGUUAUACGAGAACUCCCGUGAUCCAGGCUUUGAGAGGUUUCAGCUGCCCACACUGCUUUCACAAGCCUUCAGUGAGGGAAGUCAAGGCAGGAACUUGGAAAGACGAACAGAAGUAGAGGAACGCCACUUACUGGCACUGUAACCAAGAAAACGUACCACAGACUUGAUGGCGGCAAUUCCUCAGUGGAGGUUUCCUCUCCCCAGAUGACUCUAACUUGUGUCAGGGUGAUAAUAAAGCAACCAGCACAAAACUCUCCCAGCUUGGAAAGGCCUCUCUUCUCUCUCUGUCUUCACCUGGUGUUGUGUCCCUCUGAAUGUGUGUAAAUUUCUUCUUGUUUAAAAACACUUUGUGGUGGGGCGUAUGUGUAUACCACAGCACACAUGUGGACGCUAGAAGACAAUCUGUAGAUGUCAGUUCUCCCCUUCCCAGGAACCAAUCGUAGGUCAUCGGCCCUGGCAGUGAGUGCUUUACCUACUCAACAAUCUUGCCCACUCAGUUUCAUCUUACAGGUGCAUCAGGAGCUGGGCGGUGGUGGCACAAAGCUUUAAUCCCAGCACUUGGGAGGCAGAGGCAGGGUUCAGAUCCACUCUAAUGGCCUUGUUUUAACUCUAAAAGACACACCUCCCGGACCUGCCACUUUCUGAUAUAAUUGGAGCUAUGACUUCAACAUGAAUUCCAG